rnacentral:rRNA from 1 species
UACGUAGGGGGCAAGCGUUGUCCGGAUUUAUUGGGCGUAAAGAGCUCGUAGGCGGCCUGUCGCGUCUGCUGUGAAAUCCCGGGGCUUAACCCCGGGCGUGCAGUGGAUACGGGCUGGCUGGAGGCAGGCAGGGGAGAACGGAAUUCCCGGUGUAGCGGUGAAAUGCGCAGAUAUCGGGAGGAACACCGGUGGCGAAGGCGGUUCUCUGGGCCUGUUCUGACGCUGAGGAGCGAAAGCGUGGGGAGCGAACAGG